rnacentral:tRNA from 1 species
GACCGCGUAGCUCAGUGGUAGAGCAAUCGGCUUUUAACCGAUUGGCCGUGGGUUCGAGCCCCACCGCGGUCA